GGCGAUCAGAUACCGCCCUAGUUCUGACCGUAAACGAUGCCAACUAGCGAUCCGCCGGCGGAUUCAUUCGCCCUGGUGGGGAGCUUCCCGGAAACGAAAGUCUUCCGGUUCCGGGGGAAGUAUGGUUGCAAAGCUGAAACUUAAAGGAAUUGACGAAAGGACACCACCAGGAGUGGAGCCUGCGGCUUAAUUUGACUCAACACGGGGAAACUCACCCGGCCCGGACACCGUAAGGAUUGACAGAUUGAUAGCUUUUUCAUGAUUCGGUGGAUGGUGGUGCAUGGCCGUUCUUAGUUCGUGGAGCGAUUUGUCUGGUUUAUUCCGAUAACGAGCGAGACUCUGACCUACUAAAUAGUUGGCACAUUGCCACUGUGUGCACAACUUCUUAGAGGGAUUUUCGGUGUUCAGCCGCACGAAAUUGAGCAAUAACAGGUCUGUGAUGCCCUUAGAUGUCCGGGGCUGCACGCGCGCUACACUAGCAAAAUCAGCGUGCUUGUCCUCCCCCGAAAGGGGUUGGUAAACCGAUGAAAAUUUGCCGUGAUUGGGAUCGGACAUUGCAAUUAUUGUCCGUGAACGAGGAAUCCCUUGUAAGGGCGAGUCAUCAACUCGUCCUGAAUACGUCCCUGCCCUUGUA
rnacentral:rRNA from 1 species